rnacentral:lncRNA from 1 species
GAAAAUUAUUAUGUUUCUUUUUUUUUUUUUCUUUUUUUUUUUUUUUGUUUUUUUUUUCAUUAUUUCCCUGGAUAUCCUUGAUCUUUUGUUAUUCCAAAUGAACUUUGUUAUGGUUUUUUCCUAAAUCAGUAAAGAAAUUUUUUGGGAGUUCAAUGGGUAUGGCACUAAAUAGAUAAAUAAGUUUGGGUAGGAUGGUCACUUUUAUUAUAUUGGCUCAUCCUAUCCAUGAGCAGUUAAUGUUUUUCUAAUUGCUCAAGUCUAGUUUUAGUUGUGUGGCGAGUGUUCUGUAGUUGUGUUCAUAUAGUUCCUGUGUUUGUCUCAGGAGAUAGAUUCCUAGGUAUUUUAUUUUGUCUAAGGUGAUUUUGAAUGGGAUUUCUCUUUCUAGUGUUUGUUGCUGAGUUGUGUUGGAGAUAUAUAGAAAUGCUGAUGACUUAUGUGGGUUUAUUUUGUAUCCUGCAACUUUGCUAAAGUUGUUGAUUAUUUCAAUUAGCUUUUUGGUUGAAUCUCUAGGAUUCUUUAAGUAGACCAUCAUAUCAUCCACAAAGAGUGAUAACUUGG